GGACGGUUAGCUCAGUUGGCUAGAGCGUCACAUUGACAUUGUGAAGGUCACAGGUUCAAAUCCUGUACCGUCCA
rnacentral:tRNA from 1 species